rnacentral:rRNA from 1 species
UUAGAUACCCUGGUAGUCCACGCCGUAAACGAUGCUCACUCGCUGUUUGCGAUACACAGCAAGCGGCCAAGCGAAAGCAUUAAGUGAGCCACCUGGGGAGUACGAUCGCAAGGUUGAAACUCAAAGGAAUUGACGGGGGCCCGCACAAGCGGAGGAACAUGUGGUUUAAUUCGAUGAUACGCGAGGAACCUUACCUGGGCUUAAAUGCAGAAUGACAGAUUGUGAAAGCAGUCCUUCUUCGGACAUUCUGCAAGGUGCUGCAUGGUUGUCGUCAGCUCGUGCCGUGAGGUGUCGGGUUAAGUCCCAUAACGAGCGCAACCCCUGCUGAUAGUUGCCAUCAGGUCAAGCUGGGCACUCUAUCGGGACUGCCUCUGUAAGGAGGAGGAGGGUGGGGAUGACGUCAAAUCAGCACGGCCCUUACGUCCGGGGCGACACACGUGUUACAAUGGUAGGUACAGAGGGCAGCCACCCAGUGAUGGGGAGCAAAUCUCGAAAGCCUAUCUCAGUUCGGAUUGGAGGCUGAAACUCGCCUCCAUGAAGUUGGAUUCGCUAGUAAUCGCGCAUCAGCCAUGGCGCGGUGAAUACGUUCCCGGGCCUUGUACACACCGCCCGUCAAGCCAUGGAAGCUGGGGGUGCUUGAAGUUCGUGACCGCAAGGAGCGACCUAGGGCAAAACUGGUGACUGGGGCU